AGACUCAAAUUCGUGAAUCUGA
rnacentral:snRNA from 1 species